UAUAUAUAUAUAUAUAUAUAUUUUUUUUUUUUUUUUUCGGAGACUGAUAGUCCCCUCUCACGUUAUAUUCGUGGUCGCGUCAUUUACGUGCAUACAUGUACGGUAAGUGUUUAAUUGGUCUCUUAGUGACGUGCCACAUGGGACCAUGCACACUGUUCGGUAGCCGCUGAGCCGAUUCGUAUAUUCAAGAAGCUGCGUAGAUGCAGCUUUGUUUUGCAGAGGCCGCCAAAUUUAAUGUCUAGUCAUCGGUCACAAGAAAAGCGAGCAUAAUAGAGUAACACGGCUCGAAAAGACUUCACCAGUGGUUCAGGCAGGAAUUGAACAACACUUUACUUUGAAAUUGAACCUUUACGCCACGCGUUCACAAGCGUCAGUACGUUCCGACAGGCUGCACAGUGCUUUGAAGAAAAAGUGAGAGGCAGCAAUUAUUUGUUAAAUUUUUUGCGUAACAAAUAUGUUGACGGACAAAUAUGUGAUGACGGAAUAUAGACCAGCUAUACAAAAGCGAUGUAGGCGGUUCGUCACACGGAAAACAGCAACCAUCACAUACAAACGUUGGUGACAGUUCAUGUGAGAGUUAGAUCAGCUUCUGGCUAUAGGAUGGUUCUGUAUUUUAUUCUGGACUAAUCAAACUCUGGUAAUUAGACCGGAUUAUGACAUCAGAAUCAAAUUUAUUCUCGCUAUAUAUGCGGGUGCGCAUGCAGCGACCACUAUUAUGAGAGCAGUAGUACGUGGAGACCAGUGUGCAAGUCAAAGGAAGUAGAGAUAUCACGGAAGUACUACAUUUCCUUUACGAAAAAUCGCAAGAUUUCAAUACUUCGAAAACGGAUAUGUUUGUGACACUAUUACAUCGUUCGUUCUUGCUGUCCUUUUGUCUAGGUGUACUAUAAAGAAAAUAACCAUUUAACGAGAAACAAAUUUUAAUCAACUGGAUAUUGCGUUAGACAGUUCUCAUAACAGUCAUUUUCACAGUGGAAAGAGCCAAGCAAAAUUGUUCGCGGACAGCGUGUUAAUUGUAAACGGCCCUGUCGCAUCACAGCAAAAAUCGUAAGACUUGCGGAUUUGACAGUUCUAGAAAAACAUUUCGGUUGGAUGCUUUCACUGGGGAGUGUGAAAGAAGUGAUUAUACGAAGCCAAGAGAUGUCAAAAUAUGACAUUAUUGUAGCAAUUGUGAGUUUGUCUAAGAAUAAUUAAGGUUGCAUGCCAAUCAAUGUCAGUCAUACAUCAUCAUCAGCAGCAGCCAGGUUACGCCCACUGCAGGGCAAAGGCCUCUCCCAUACUUCUCCAACAACCCCGGUCAUGUACUAAUUGUGGCCAUGUCAUCCCUGCAAACUUCUUAAUCUCAUCCGCCCAUCUAACUUUCUGCCGCCCCCUGCUACGCUUCCGUUCCUUUGGAAUCCAGUCCGUAACCCUUAAUGACCAUCGGUUAUCUUCCCUCCUCAUUACAUGUCCUUCCCAUGCCCAUUUCUUUAUCUUGAUUUCAACUAAGAUGUCAUUAACUCGCGUUUGUUCCCUCACCCAAUCUGCUCUUUUCUCAUCCCUUAACGUUACACCCAUCAUUCUCCUUUCCUAUAUAGCUUGUUGCGUCGUCCUCAAUUUAAGUAGAACCCUUUUCGUAAGCCUCCAGGUUUUUUCCCCGUAGGUGAGUACUGGUAAGACACAGCUAUUAUACACUUUUCUCUUGAGGGAUAAUGGCAACCUGCUGUUCAUGAUCUGAGAAUGCCUGCCAGACGCACCCCAGCCCAUUCUUAUUCUUCUGAUUAUUUCCGUCUCAUGAUCCGCAUCCGCCGUCACUACCUGCCCUAAGUAGAUCGAUGUAUUCCCUUACCACUUUCAGUGCCUCGCUACCUAUUGUAAAUUGCUGUUCUCUUCCGAGACUGUUAAACAUUACUUUAGUUUUCUGCAGAUUAAUUUUUAGACCCACUCUUCUGCUUUGCCUCUCCAGGUCAGUGAGCAUGCAUUGCAAUUGGUCUCCCGAGUUUAAGCAAGGCAAUAUCAUCAGCGAAUCGCAAGUUACUAAGGUAUUCUCCAUUAACUUUUAUCCCCAAUUCUUCCCAAUCCAGGUCUCUGAAUACCUCCUGUAAACACGCUGUGAAUAGCAUUGGAGAGAUGUGACUUCUGUUGCACACUCCAGGCAGUCAUACAUAUGGAGCAUUCCUUCUGUCGACGUGUGUAUUUGGCUGGGAAGAACUAAAGUUAGAUCAAAUUAUUCCAACCUUUGCUCAAUGAACUAAUGACAUUCAACAAUCAAGCAGUUGAGAAUUAAUAAAUUUAUGGUACAUCAUGAGUGUUUCUUCAAGCUCAGUCUCAUGUGAGGCACAUGUACCAUUUUCAUGCAAAGCUCCCUGGAAGGCGUAUUGACUGUGCAUGCAUGUAUGCAUGCACAUAUCGAACUUUAUGCACACAGACGCAAUGCAUUGAAGAUGAAUGUUUAUUAGACGCGAUGCAUUGAAGAUGAAUGUUUAUUAAAAUUCACAUGAUUUAUGUCUGCCUUGUAAAGGUACAGACAGCGGAGGUGCAGAAAAAGCUGUCAGAUACAGCUUGACAAAGCUGCAGCCCCCUUUCUCUUGGCAACGGCUUCACAGAAAGACUUUUAAAACAAAGGUAAUUGCACGGUGUAAUAACAGUUAUACAACAAUUAGCAAGAACAAAAGAAAACAAACAAGAUUAUAGAAUAUUUCGACAAUAUUCACAUAAAGGAAAACAGAACCUAUAGUAUACAUGGUAAGAUACAUAGCACCCAAAGUACUGUUUGACGCAUUGAAGAGGUCAAAAUUAUUAUAUACAUAAGCUAUAUACAUAUUCAUAUAAAGCUACCAAUCCCUGCAAAAUCUAGAUCGCAGAUUUUCAUUACAUACGCACGCACACAACACGCACACCAAGAAGGAAACAGCAGCGCGCUCGUAGGCAGUGCCUGAAAAAAAAAAGAAGAUGAAAAAAGGAAAAGUGUGGGGAACCGCGGUCAUCUUGUGCUGUCGCAUCUCCCUCUCCCAGAAGGAAUGAAAAGCUCUUGGAAAGCAGGGACGGGCGAUUCCCUCCGUCAGCAUCAGCUUCCACCAGCGAGGACGGGGCGAGAAAGCGAAGCGGGGCUUUCUUUGCUAUCUAUUUUUUCUUCGUCGGGCGCAAUGCUGCCUGCUCGCUGAGGUGCAGGCAGGGCGGCAGGGGCGCCAGUCCCUGCCAAAUGCUAGCUCUGGACGCCAGCUCGUUUCGUGUCUCCACAGCUUGCUAUACUAGUUGGCGCAUUUCUGUGAUCGUUGACUGUGCAUAUAAAUGCAAACUACACAAAGUACAUGGGCAAGAAGAACGCAAGCUCUUUCCAUGGAGUGGAGCUGCCGUGUCUCGCCGUGCAAAAUAUGCGUACUUGAAGAAAAAAGGAAGAGCUUUAUAUGAGAACGGAUCAAUCGUUCGAGAGUUGGGACAAGCAAAUGUGAGACAUACUUUCAGGAAACACUGGAACGACACUGCUUAAAUUGAAGCAUAGUGUGCGAAUAACCUGCUAUGCUCCGAAUUGUUAUCACCAUUUGGGAAGAAAUCAGGUAAGACCCUUGUCUGGUUGUCAUUGCGGAAAAGUGAUAAUUCGAAGCCACUUCGUUCUCACAGAUGGAAAAACAAAACUGUAAAUACCCAAUACUGUACAAUAUACAUUGUUACGGUUGGCCUCUGGCACCACGUGCAGAAAGGAAUUUCACCCGACCUUCUCUCACCAUGCCUCGUCAAAAUGUUAGUUACAGUUAACGUCCAGCACCUCUUGCAGAAAGGACUUUCUCUCACCAUGCCUCGUCGAAAUGAGACGUGACUUCUGCUACGGUUGGCGUCCAGCACCUCGUGCAGAAAGGACUUUCUCUCACCCGACCAUCACUCACCAUGCCUUGUCGAAAUGAGGCGUGACUUCCUAAUUCGCCAUGGCCAUUUCGAGUGUCUGCCGGUCUGGCGGAAACCCCGCAGUGUUUACAGGCCUCUUUCCUCGAACGGUCAAACUCUACAGGAGAACUUCCACGAACCAGCAACGCGCAAAAGAGACAGACAAGCAUCUACAAUUCCAGGAGGCUCGGUACCUCCAGACGCGAGGCCCUCUUUCCGCCAAUCAGACUCUGCGCCGGUCAUGUGACAUCGACGGCAGCAAGAUCCCUCCCACGAUUGUAGAGAGCCUAUUCAAGGGGCUCCGAAAUGUACUUUAGAUCACUUCAUUCUCUUCUCAUCAUCUUUCAUCAACUUUUGAAUAAACAGUGCAAGUUUCGCACUAGAAAUCGUCUUGUCCUUGCUCAGUCGCAAUGGUCUACCGGAUGCCUGCAGCCCACCGAUGACACCAUGCUACCCCAUUAGGAACGUCGGUCAAGCUUCGAUAGGCAGGCGUCGCUACAACUCAGCAGCAGUAUGAUACGCUACCCUGGAGUACGCAACAACGUCUGGUGCAUUGCAGUUUCUAUGAGCACUGUAACUAUCCAAACUUCGCUCUCGACGGGGACAGAGAAAUGCCGGAUACUGUACCGUUCGGAGCCAAGAGAAUGGAAACAGCUGAAAAAGAGCCUCCCGGGCAGUAUGGGAAAGUCUCGCAGCAGACCAGCACUGUCCUUUAACUGUAUCAUACUAUUUCAAUGAACAAAGACUACUUGCAAAUUGUUAACACUGCUGCACCGAAAUGUUAAUGUAUUUUAUGGUUGCAAAAUAAAACACCUAAAGAGAGGAAACAUUGCGUUUACGUGUUUGUUUUGUUGCGUGUCACGUAUUUAACUAACGGUUGCAGAGAAUAAUUAAAGGUGCUUAAUUAUGUUUCACAUGUGAGUGUUAAUUGUGAGCGAGAGUUUAACGCCUCUAAUAAACUAUAUUGUUGGCCUGAAAACGCAACACGCAGCAAAAAAAAACCUUGUGUUUUUUUAAUGUAAUAAAAUAUUUAAAAAAAAAAAA